UACUUCAGAUGCAGCUAUUUGAAAUUGACCAUCAAGAUAUUUCACAUACCUUAAAUACAGGAAAGAUAUAUGUAUGUGCAGUGACACAUACCAUUGUUUUGGCCGGUUUAGAUUUUAGGCACCAUACCUCAAUCCCUACGAGGUGGCUUACUCAUUUAAUGUUUUGCAGUUGGACCGACAAACGUUCUCUGUUGCUUAUCGUUUCGUGAAAGCUAAGACUCCUGAACAAAGGGCUGCUGUUGACUUGGACACCCAUUAUUCACAAGAGUAUCUUGAGGAAUAUGUUGGAACAGAUAAGAGGAGAGCCAUCUUAUAUCAGAGCCACUUUCUUGGUCUUGCCGGGGUGUGGAGUAUGGUGAAUACACGAAUGGAAUCCAGACUGGAUGUAGUGGAAAUGAUGUUGCAGGAAUUUUUGCAAGAUAAGGCCCACCAGGAAAAUCAGACUCAUGAGUGCUUCAAGCGAUUGGAGGACAUGAUUCGAGGCUUAACCGGGGUGGUCGAAACAUGGUCUUGUAGCCCUACCAAGGGUGAACCUCCUUCAGUGUCACAUAUUGGUCAUGGGUCACGUUGGGAGCAAGAGACAAGUCUCAAUUUGUCUUCUUCCAAAUGGAGGAAUUGGACAUUCUAGUAUUUGUAGGGGCAGAGGCAUAUGGAUGGACUCAUCAUCUUGAACGUUAUUUUCGGUUGAAGGAAGUAAGUGCGGAGGAGUGAAUGCAGGCUGUCAUUGUUGCUUUGGAAAGAAAGGCCUUAAAUUGGUUUCAGUGGUGGGAAUCCUAUAAUCCAAAUCCCACACGGGAAGCCUUCAAGGUGGUCGUUGUCCACUGGUUUCAACCAACGAUGCUUCAAAAUCCUUUUGAAAUUCUGAUUGGUUUGUGUCAAUCGGGUUUAGUGGAAGAUUAUAUUGAGCAAUUUGAACAAUAUGUUGGGUUUCUAAAGGGGAUUCAUUAUAAUUAUUUGGUUGACAUUUUUUUGAAUGGGUUGAAGGAGGAAAUCAAGGUUGAGGUUAAGUUGUAUGAACCUAUCACUCUUCUUGAGUUAAUGAUGAAGCCCCAAAUGGUGGAAGAAAAUAGUAGAGUAAUCUCCAAAGAUGGUUUUUUCCAUGUUCAAUGCACUACUCCUGCCUCCAAACCUAUUUUCGUGACUUCGCAGUUUUUCAAAGGAUGGGGGAAACUUGGCUGGCUUUAUUAUUUCCAGCACUGGUCGAGGGGAAAGCAGUGCUUCUGCAAGCACUUUUCGUAGUGUUCCUACAGUGCAUCAGCCAGGCCACACGCCUUUUAGAAAAUUGUCACAAGAGGAAUUACAAGAUAAAAUUAAGAAGGGCCUCUAUUACAGGUGUGAUGAGACGUUUGGUCCUAAUCAUGUUUCUAGAAAUAAACAAUUACAUAUGCUGCUUUUGUUGGAGGAAGAAUUGUUAGGUUCCUUUAUGCAGGGAACCGUAACAGGUGACUCCCCUCUCUCACAACACUCAAACAGUAGAAAAGAGAUGAAUGUAUACGUAUUUCAUUAAUUUUGUAAAGUAUGGAAAAACAGAAUUACAGUAAGUGUUCCAAGGAAGCCUCCCUUCCUCCACUGGAAAAUGUCCAGUCUAUUCCAAAAGUAAAAUAUCUGAU